GAUGAAGAACGUAGCGAAAUGCGAUACUUGGUGUGAAUUGCAGAAUCCCGUGAACCAUCGAGUCUUUGAACGCAAGUUGCGCCCGAAGCCAUUAGGCCGAGGCACGCCUGCCUGGGCGUCACACGUCGUUGCCCCCCCAUCUACUCCUUCGGGAUUGCGGGGGGCGGAUGAUGGCCUCCCGUGCGCCUCGUCGCGCGGUUGGCAUAAAUGCCAAGUCCUCGGCGACGCACGCCACGACAAUCGGUGGUUGCGAAACCUCGGUUGCCCGUCGUGUGCGGUCGUCGCGCAUCGAGGGCUCGAAAAAAUUGCCGGGCUCCGGCUCGGCUUUCAACGCGACCCCAGGUCAGGCGGGGUUACCCGCUGAAUUUAAGCAUAUCAAUAAGCGGAGGA
rnacentral:misc_RNA from 1 species